CCUGGCCGUUACCCCAGACCAGCUUCAAUUGAUAAAUCAGUGCAGUGAGAGUGAUCGAUAUUUACCGGCUGCUGAUCGCUGUUUCCGGCCGAUCAAUCACUGGAUCGAUCUGUUCAGAGCCUCUGGAUCAAAGUGAACACUUGAAGCAGGAAGUUUGUCUCUGGCUGCAGCCGUUAUUCAGGAAUGUGGCUGUUGUUCUGUGAGCUGUCGGAGGUGAAAGGUGGAGCUGCUGCAGAGGUGACGACUCCUCAGGUGGAAACAGGUCGAUAAGACAUGAAGUACGAGGACAGCUGAGAGGACUGCAUUAACCUGGAUAACCUGGAAACUUAAUGAGCAACUGUCGAGGUGUCCAGAGGGACGUUUCCUGCGUCACAGCUCCUCUGAUGCUGCACUUUGGAUCUCUGCAUUGCCAUCAAAAGGGUCAUGUGACUGCUUUCCAAGGCAUGCUGGGAGACCUGCCACUCUGACCCCCCCCCCCAUACACACACACACACACACACACACACACACAGCGAGGGAGUCACCUCCUCCCCCAACAUCCUCUGACAGCCACGACCCCCUGCUGAGCCUGGACCUUUAGUAAGAACUUUGAAGCCUCACUGUCUGUCCAGCAGCAGGGAUCAGACCCACCUGUCUGUCUGAAGUAUAUGAUAUCAUAUAUUAUAAAUCAUGUUUUGAAUAUUAUAUAUCGUGUGUGUGUGUGUGUGUGUGUGUGUGUGUGUGUGUGUGUGUGUGUGUUGUCACAGAAUUGUUUGUGAUGUUCUCAGCAGCAUCAGAUUUUCCACUGGAUUGGGUUGAAAUUUGUCCUGAACA